rnacentral:rRNA from 1 species
GUCCGCACAGUAAACGAUGGAUACUAGGUGUCCGCCCCUAUGGGGUGGGUGCCCAAGGGAAACCGAUAAGUAUCCCACCUGGGGAGUACGUCCGCAAGGAUGAAACUCAAAGGAAUUGACGGGGGCCCGCACAAGCGGUGGAGCAUGUGGUUUAAUUCGAUGAUACGCGAGGAACCUUACCUGGGCUAGAAUGCCCUCGACCGUCCCGGAAACGGGUCUUCCCUUCGGGGCGAGGAGCAAGGUGCUGCAUGGCUGUCGU